GAGAGAUUAGCUCAUUUGGAUAGAGCGCUUCCCUCCUGAGGAAGAGGAGGCAGGUUCGAAUCCUGUAUCUCUCG
rnacentral:tRNA from 1 species